rnacentral:rRNA from 1 species
UAACCUGCCCAAGAGAUCGGGAUAACACCUGGAAACAGAUGCUAAUACCGGAUAACAACAGAUGAUGCCUAUCAACUGUUUAAAAGAUGGUUCUGCUAUCACUCUUGGAUGGACCUGCGGUGCAUUAGCUAGUUGGUAGGGUAACGGCCUACCAAGGCGAUGAUGCAUAGCCGAGUUGAGAGACUGAUCGGCCACAUUGGGACUGAGACACGGCCCAAACUCCUACGGGAGGCAGCNGGC